rnacentral:rRNA from 1 species
UUGGCAGGGUGCAAUGUGGUGUUCGGGAGGGUCCAUUCGUGCCUUGAGCUCUGGUGUCCAAGUCCCCCUGACCGGGGCCAUCGCCCGUUGAGGGUGCAAGGCCUGUUGGGCAGGGCUGUGUCUCCGAUCUCGGCGCGUUGGGUCCCUUCCUUGGAGUCGGGUUGCUUGAGAGUGCAGCCCAAAGUGGGUGGUAAACUCCACCUAAGGCUAAAUACUUUCCACGAGACCGAUAGCAAACAAGUACCGUGAGGGAAAGUUGCAAAGAACUUUGAAGAGAGAGUUCAAGAGUGCGUGAAACCGUUCGGAGGUAAACGGGUGGGAGCGCGAAGGUCGAACGGACGGGGAGGGAUUCAACUUGGCGUGGCGGCUGGCCUGGCUCUUCGCGUCUGGGCGCGCCGGCCUCCCUUCGCGGGGAGGUGUCGGUCGUCCCGCGUGGUGGCCGUGGCCGUAGUCCGCCGUGCCUUGUGCAUUUCCCUGUUCCCCCUCUCCUAGUAGGACGCCGCGACCGGCUGUCGAGGGGAGCCCAGGAGCUGGUCGGAGCAGUUGCGCGGACGAGUAAGGGAUUCGUUCCCUGCGUCCGGUCUGUCUGUCUCCUUCCGCCCGCGGGUCGCUCCCUCCGGCCGAGGAACUGUGCGAGCUGGGCCCUUCGGGGUCCCUCGUCCAUGUGCGUGCCCACGAUCUGUCGGUGCGGGUCGAAAGAUCCCAACGGGUGGCGGCGGGUGGCCGAGCGCCAGUCGAGAGACUGCGCGUUUGGACUCCGCGUGUCAGCCGCCGUCGGUCAGGGUGCGGACUCCCGCUUUGGGGCGCUGGGGGUCGGCGGCGAGUAGGUCGGUUUCCCACCCGACCCGUCUUGAAACACGGACCAAGAAGUCUAACGUGUGGGCGAGUCUUCGGGGACAUUUUGAACCCUUAGAAGGCGAAAUAAAAGUGAAGGCUGGGUCGUUCCGCCGCCUCCCUCCGGGGUUGCGCUGGCGUGAGCGGCCCGCCCGAGUGGGAUCCCCCGUCUUAUGGCGGGGGCG